UAAGCGCAUACGGUGGAUGCCUUGGCAGUCAGAGGCGAUGAAAGACGUGGAAGCCUGCGAUAAGGUUCGGGGAGCUGGCAAACAAGCUGUGAUCCGGGCAUUUCUGAAUGGGGAAACCCACCGACUUUCGGGUCGGUAUCUUGCACUGAAUACAUAGGUGUAAGAGGCGAACCGGGGGAACUGAAACAUCUAAGUACCCCGAGGAAAAGAAAUCAACCGAGAUUCCCUAAGUAGCGGCGAGCGAACGGGGACUAGCCCUUAAGCUAGACAACUGGUAGGAGAAGGCUCUGGAAAGUGCCGCCAUAGUGGGUGAUAGCCCCGUAUCCGAAACCUGAGUCUGGUGAAAUCGAGUAGGACGGGACACGUGAAAUCCUGUCUGAACAUGGGGGGACCAUCCUCCAAGGCUAAAUACUCCUGACUGACCGAUAGUGAACCAGUACCGUGAGGGAAAGGCGAAAAGAACCCCUGUGAGGGGAGUGAAAUAGAUCCUGAAACCGUAUGCGUACAAGCAGUCGGAGCGGACUUGUUCCGUGACGGCGUACCUUUUGUAUAAUGGGUCAGCGACUUAUGUUCAGUGGCGAGGUUAACCGUUUAGGGGAGCCGUAGGGAAACCGAGUCUGAAUAGGGCGAUUUAGUCGCUGGGCAUAGACCCGAAACCGGGCGAUCUAUCCAUGAGCAGGUUGAAGGUGCCGUAACAGGCACUGGAGGACCGAACCCACUGUCGUUGAAAAGCCAGGGGAUGACUUGUGGAUCGGAGUGAAAGGCUAAUCAAGCCCGGAGAUAGCUGGUUCUCCCCGAAAGCUAUUUAGGUAGCGCCUCGGACGAAUACCACAGGGGGUAGAGCACUGUUUCGGCUAGGGGGUCAUCCCGACUUACCAACCCGAUGCAAACUCCGAAUACCUGUGAGUACUAUCCGGGAGACACACGGCGGGUGCUAACGUCCGUCGUGAAGAGGGAAACAACCCAGACCGCCAGCUAAGGUCCCCAAGUACCAGUUAAGUGGGAAACGAUGUGGGAAGGCUCAGACAGCUAGGAGGUUGGCUUAGAAGCAGCCAUCCUUUAAAGAAAGCGUAAUAGCUCACUAGUCGAGUCGGCCUGCGCGGAAGAUGUAACGGGGCUCAAACUGGUCACCGAAGCUGCGGCUGCAUACUUUGUAUGCGGGGUAGGGGAGCGUUCUGUAAGCCUGCGAAGGUGUGUUGAGAAGCAUGCUGGAGGUAUCAGAAGUGCGAAUGCUGACAUGAGUAACGACAAUGCGGGUGAAAAACCCGCACGCCGGAAGACCAAGGGUUCCUGCGCAACGCUAAUCGGCGCAGGGUGAGUCGGCCCCUAAGGCGAGGCAGAGAUGCGUAGCUGAUGGGAAGCAGGUUAAUAUUCCUGCACCGUCGUAUGAUGCGAUGGGGGGACGGAUCGCGGAAGGUUGUCCAGCUGUUGGAAUAGCUGGUUUCUG
rnacentral:rRNA from 1 species